AAAACAAUCUUUAUUUUUUCUUUUUACUUAAAUUAUUUUGAAAUUUUACGUCCUUUUUUGACGAAAAAAAGAUCAACAAUAAAAUAGAUAAAAAUCUAUAAAUAUAGCCUAUUAGAUAAAAACUAGAAAAAGGGACCGCAUAAAUAAAAAAAUAUGUUUUUUUUAUUUUUGAUAUAAAAAUUAGUAAUCACUUAAAGGCAAUUGAGCUGCCCACUCACAAUUUAUAUCCAUAAAAAGAGCCAUUAAAUAAAAAAUGAAUAAUACUUAAACCUAUUAUAUAAUAAUUUUUAAAAAUGGAUUAAAUUGAAAACAAAAAUUGAAAGUACAUUUUAUUUUGAAUCAUCAUAGAUUUGAAAAUAAGUUGAACUUACAUUUGAAAGAGUUUGGUCUGAACUGGUCUAAACCCAGCGAUGAAUAUAAAUGUCAGGUUUAAGGGCCAACAAUUAGGGGACCGAGGCAAUCAUGAGUACACUUGUUCAUGGACCGGGUUUGGGUCAGCAUUGUCGAGCUUUUAUAUUUUUUGACUAGAUCCAAGUCUGACACGAGGUUUAUAUUUGAGAAAAUUACCGGGUGUACCCCAUUUUAUCAAAUCUUUGUAAAGUUACCUACUCAAAAGUUGGGUUUUCAAGCGUACUUUAAUUUUAACUUUUCCUUUUCAUAUUUACGCUCUUUUACACAGUGUGAAUAUUGUACCGUUUCCUUUGCUAUUUUCUCAUUCUCCAGCUGCUCCUUCCUUCUUUCUCUCUAAUUAUCUUCAGAAGUCAUAAACAAAUUAUUUUCAUUCUUAUUGAUUUAGAGUGUGGUUUCAAUCUCUACUUAAUAAGAGGUGAAAAUCAUCUUCAUCAUUUCCGUACAUGUCAUCUUGAGGCUAGAAAUCGUUCUUACCUUUAGUUUCAAACAAUCGUCUCUAUCGACGUUGUCUCUGUUGUUUGGUGUUGCCUGCUACUACCGGUGGUUUGAUUUGGUGUGUCAAAAUUGAAAAUCUUCAAUCUUGUUGUGAGAAGUGCGAGAGCAAGUCGACCACCCUAGUUUUGUGUCUAGUCUUCUAUAAAAAUUCUGAAACGAUAGUUAUUUGUGUGAACCACAAUGAAUCAGUCAUUUCUUUUUCUGAGCCUGGCAAAUUCGGAAUAAUAAUUCAUAACGUUUUUGCUAUGUGAACAUGAGAAAUAAUAUUACACUUUUUGUAUUUGUAAAUUAACGAUGGAUUAUGA